rnacentral:rRNA from 1 species
GACGAACGCUGGCGGCGUGCUUAACACAUGCAAGUCGAACGGAAAGGCCCUGCUUUUGUGGGGUGCUCGAGUGGCGAACGGGUGAGUAACACGUGAGUAACCUGCCCUUGACUUUGGGAUAACUUCAGGAAACUGGGGCUAAUACCGGAUAGGAGCUCCUGCUGCAUGGUGGGGGUUGGAAAGUUUCGGCGGUUGGGGAUGGACUCGCGGCUUAUCAGCUUGUUGGUGGGGUAGUGGCUUACCAAGGCUUUGACGGGUAGCCGGCCUGAGAGGGUGACCGGCCACAUUGGGACUGAGAUACGGCCCAGACUCCUACGGGAGGUAGCAGUGGGGAAUAUUGCACAAUGGGCGGAAGCCUGAUGCAGCAACGCCGCGUGCGGGAUGACGGCCUUCGGGUUGUAAACCGCUUUCGCCUGUGACGAAGCGUGAGUGACGGUAAUGGGUAAAGAAGCGCCGGCUAACUACGUGC